ensembl:lncRNA
GUACCUUUUCUACUGAGGAAGCUGUUCUAUGAAUACAAUGAUUGGCUCUGAUCAAGGAAACACAAAGAGGUUUACAGUUCUCCUCCCAGUGACUGCUGUACAGUUAAUGCAAACUUGGAGAGAGUAUCAGAGUACUGUGGUAGAACCAGUUAUGUUUACAUCAUAGUUGUCAGAGCAAAUAACUAUUAAGCUAAUUUAUCAAUUAUAAAUUGUCCAAGCUCCUCACAGACGUGGCUAGCUUGCUGGUACUUGAUAUAGAUGAUUUCAGUAUAGUUGAAUACUUAGCUGAAUACAAGGAUUAGCAAGCCAGAGCUAAAGCAAGUAUUUGCAAGUGGAGGACAGGAGGCAGGAGUUAGCAGGAACCCCAGGCAGAGGUGGCCGGAUUUCUGACUGGGCAGAGGUAGGACCCACACAUGUCCGGCACAAGCUGCCUCCUGCCUGGGCGCAUGCAAGCCACUGCAGAAGCUCAAGGAACGUGUCUGCAUGGACCCCACUUACCUGUCCUUUGCACUCAAUGCAAAACCUUGAAGAACUGGUCCUGAGAGCUGAGAGACCCUUGGUGAGCAUGCUACUCAUCAUGAGAGCCUUCAUGGAGCUUCCCAAAGCUCGGAUGACAAAGGCGUAAGGCCAAUAGUAGAGUGGAUGACAAGAGGUCUGGUAUUUGUGAUGGAAAACAAAAAAGUAGAUGUCGUGUAAGCCAGUCCACCUUCCUAUAGGUUUUGCAUGUUCGAAAAUGGCAUUUAUCUGGCACGUGCAUUUUUGAAGACUAACUUAGGAAACUUUAUUACCCAGCAUUUGGAAGUGUGCUGUCUAUCAGACAGCGGUUAGCCUGGUGACGUGCCUGAUCACCUGCUUCAGGUCUGGUCCAUCUUACAGGGCCUUUCAGAAGGCCACAGCGUGGGUGCGUUGCGGCGCAUGUUGGCAAGACGGGCAGAUGAGGUGGUUCUGCUGCUGGACCUGGAUCUUUGCACUGUACUCUGAGUUCCUCAUCAG